AGAGCGAACGCUGGCGGCAUGCUUAACACAUGCAAGUCGCACGGGCAGGGGCAACCCUGUCAGUGGCGGACGGGUGAGUAACGCGUAGGUAUCUAUCCUUGGGUGGGGGACAACUGUGGGAAACUACAGCUAAUACCGCAUGAUAACUGAGGUUUAAAGGCGCAAGUCGCCUGGGGAGGAGCCUGCGUACGAUUAGCUAGUUGGUGGGGUAAAGGCCUACCAAGGCGACGAUCGUUAGCUGGUCUGAGAGGAUGAUCAGCCACAUUGGGACUGAGACACGGCCCAAACUCCUACGGGAGGCAGCAGUGGGGAAUAUUGGACAAUGGGCGCAAGCCUGAUCCAGCAAUGCCGCGUGUGUGAAGAAGGUCUUCGGAUUGUAAAGCACUUUCGACGGGGACGAUGAUGACGGUACCCGUAGAAGAAGCCCGGCUAACUUCGUGCCAGCAGCCGC
rnacentral:rRNA from 1 species